AACGAACGCUGGCGGCAUGCCUAACACAUGCAAGUCGAACGAGACCUUCGGGUCUAGUGGCGCACGGGUGCGUAACGCGUGGGAACCUGCCCUUAGGUUCGGAAUAACUCCCCGAAAGGGGUGCUAAUACCGGAUAAUGUCUUCGGACCAAAGAUUUAUCGCCGUUGGAUGGGCCCGCGUUGGAUUAGCUAGUUGGUAGGGUAAAAGCCUACCAAGGCGACGAUCCAUAGCUGGUCUGAGAGGAUGAUCAGCCACACUGGGACUGGGACACGGCCCAGACUCCUACGGGAGGCAGCAGUGGGGAAUAUUGGACAAUGGGCGAAAGCCUGAUCCAGCUAUGCCGCGUGAGUGAUGAAGGCCUUAGGGUUGUAAAGCUCUUUUACCCGGGAUGAUAAUGACAGUACCGGGAGAAUAAGCUCCGGCUAACUCCGUG
rnacentral:rRNA from 1 species